rnacentral:rRNA from 1 species
CCAAUGCGGAGGAAAAGAAACCAACCGGGAUUGCCUUAGUAACGGCGAGUGAAGCGGCAAAAGCUCAAAUUUGAAAUCUGGUACCUUCGGUGCCCGAGUUGUAAUUUGGAGAGGGCAACUUUGGGGCCGUUCCUUGUCUAUGUUCCUUGGAACAGGACGUCAUAGAGGGUGAGAAUCCCGUGUGGCGAGGAGUGCGGUUCUUUGUAAAGUGCCUUCGAAGAGUCGAGUUGUUUGGGAAUGCAGCUCUAAGUGGGUGGUAAAUUCCAUCUAAAGCUAAAUAUUGGCGAGAGACCGAUAGCGAACAAGUACAGUGAUGGAAAGAUGAAAAGAACUUUGAAAAGAGAGUGAAAAAGUACGUGAAAUUGUUGAAAGGGAAGGGCAUUUGAUCAGACAUGGUGUUUUGUGCCCUCUGCUCCUUGUGGGUAGGGGAAUCUCGCAUUUCACUGGGCCAGCAUCAGUUUUGGUGGCAGGAUAAAUCCAUAGGAAUGUAGCUUGCCUCGGUAAGUAUUAUAGCCUGUGGGAAUACUGCCAGCUGGGACUGAGGACUGCGACGUAAGUCAAGGAUGCUGCAUAGACUGACA